rnacentral:rRNA from 1 species
GAUGAACGCUGGCGGCGUGCCUAAUACAUGCAAGUCGAGCGAAUGGAUUAAGAGCUUGCUCUUAUGAAGUUAGCGGCGGACGGGUGAGUAACACGUGGGUAACCUGCCCAUAAGACUAGGAUAACUCCGGGAAACCGGGGCUAAUACCGGAUAACAUCUUGAACCGCAUGGUUCGAAAUUGAAAGGCGGCUUCGGCUGUCACUUAUGGAUGGACCCGCGUCGCAUUAGCUAGUUGGUGAGGUAACGGUCCACCAAGGCAACGAUGCGUAGCCGACCUGAGAGGGUGAUCGGCCACACUGGGACUGAGACGCGGCCCAGACUCCUACGGGAGGCAGCAGUAGGGAAUCUUCCGCAAUGGACGAAAGUCUGACGGAGCAACGCCGCGUGAGUGAUGAAGGCUUUCGGGUCGUAAAACUCUGUUGUUAGGGAAGAACAAGUGCUAGUUGAAUAAGCUGGCACCUUGACGGUACCUAACCAGAAAGCCACGGCUAACUACGUGCCAGCAGCCGCAGUAA